rnacentral:rRNA from 1 species
UACGGAGGGUGCAAACGUUGCUCGGAAUUAUUGGGCGUAAAGCGUACGUAGGCGGUCCAGCACGUCGGGUGUGAAAGCCCUUGGCUUAACCAAGGAAGUGCAUUCGAAACUACUGGACUUGAAUACUGGAGAGGAUCGCGGAAUUCCCGGUGUAGAGGUGAAAUUCGUAGAUAUCGGGAGGAACACCAGUGGCGAAGGCGGCGAUCUGGACAGAUAUUGACGCUGAUGUACGAAAGCGUGGGGAGCAAACAGG